UACGGAGGGUGCAAGCGUUGUCCGGAUUUAUUGGGUUUAAAGGGUGCGUAGGCGGCUCGUUAAGUCAGUGGUGAAAGCCUCCAGCUCAACUGGAGAACUGCCAUUGAUACUGGCGGUCUUGAGUACAGACGAGGUUGGCGGAAUUGAUUGUGUAGCGGUGAAAUGCAUAGAUACAAUCAAGAACUCCGAUUGCGUAGGCAGCUAACUAGGCUGUAACUGACGCUGAGGCACGAAAGCGUGGGGAGCGAACAGG
rnacentral:rRNA from 1 species